AAUUUGGGACAAUGGGGGAAACCGUGAUCCAGCAAUGCCGCGUGCAGUAUGAAGGCCUUCGGUUUGUAAACUGCUUUUGUACGGAACGAAAAGUCUUGGAUUAAUACCCUGGGAUCAUGUCGGUACCGUAAGAAUAAGCACCGGCUCACUAAGUGCCAGCAUCCGCGGUAAUACGUAGGGUGCAAGCGUUAAUCGGAAUUACUGGGCGUAAAGCGUGCGCAGGCGGUUUUGUAAGACAGUGGUGAAAUCCCCGGGCUCAACCUGGGAACUGCCAUUGUGACUGCAAGGCUGGAGUGCGGCAGAGGGGGAUGGAAUUCCGCGUGUAGCAGUGAAAUGCGUAGAUAUGCGGAGGAACACCGAUGGCGAAGGCAAUCCCCUGGGCCUGCACUGACGCUCAUGCACGAAAGCGUGGGGAGCAAACAGG
rnacentral:rRNA from 1 species